UCCUACGGGAGGCAGCAGUGGGGAAUUUUGGACAAUGGGCGAAAGCCUGAUCCAGCAAUGCCGCGUGUGUGAAGAAGGCCUUCGGGUUGUAAAGCACUUUUGUCCGGAAAGAAAUCCUUGGCUCUAAUACAGUCGGGGGAUGACGGUACCGGAAGAAUAAGCACCGGCUAACUACGUGCCAGCAGCCGCGGUAAUACGUAGGGUGCGAGCGUUAAUCGGAAUUACUGGGCGUAAAGCGUGCGCAGGCGGUUUGCUAAGACCGAUGUGAAAUCCCCGGGCUCAACCUGGGAACUGCAUUGGUGACUGGCAGGCUAGAGUAUGGCAGAGGGGGGUAGAAUUCCACGUGUAGCAGUGAAAUGCGUAGAGAUGUGGAGGAAUACCGAUGGCGAAGGCAGCCCCCUGGGCCAAUACUGACGCUCAUGCACGAAAGCGUGGGGAGCAAACAGGAUUAGAUACCCUGGAAGUCCACGCCCUAAACGAUGUCAACUAGUUGUUGGGGAUUCAUUUCCUUAGUAACGUAGCUAACGCGUGAAGUUGACCGCCUGGGGAGUACGGUCGCAAGAUUAAAACUCAAAGGAAUUGACGGGGACCCGCACAAGCGGUGGAUGAUGUGGAUUAAUUCGAUGCAACGCGAAAAACCUUACCUACCCUUGACAUGGUCGGAAUCCCGCUGAGAGGUGGGAGUGCUCGAAAGAGAACCGGCGCACAGGUGCUGCAUGGCUGUCGUCAGCUCGUGUCGUGAGAUAUUGGGUUAAGUCCCGCAACGAGCGCAACCCUUGUCCUUAGUUGCUACGCAAGAGCACUCUAAGGAGACUGCCGGUGACAAACCGGAGGAAGGUGGGGAUGACGUCAAGUCCUCAUGGCCCUUAUGGGUAGGGCUUCACACGUCAUACAAUGGUCGGAACAGAGGGUUGCCAACCCGCGAGGGGGAGCUAAUCCCAGAAAACCGAUCGUAGUCCGGAUUGCACUCUGCAACUCGAGUGCAUGAAGCUGGAAUCGCUAGUAAUCGCGG
rnacentral:rRNA from 1 species